GGUUUGAAAGUGGGCUUAUAAAGCCAUUAGGUAGCACCAGCUCCUUGCCUCUCCAUUCCGAAAACAAACAAAAAAGGAGUAAAUUAUGAUGAAAGCUGGCAGAUUGAAAUAAGAUUAUCAACAAGAUGGUUUUGUACUGUAUUCAGCGGUGAAGAAGUUGCAAAGAAGAGAAGAUGCCGAAACCAGGUUUGCCAUUUUAGUGAAUCAAGGCAAGCUCAGAUCCGAAAAUUGUCGGGAACAACAUCGUACUAUCGAACAUCUAUUUGAUUUUGGUUGUAAGUUACGAGCUCGGGGAUCGUGAUCGAAGUCAUCCACACUAUCGUCAACUUUUAGUAUUUUUCAAAGUUUAUCUUCGAACUUUUGGCAUGUAUAGGCUAAGUCGUAUUUUGAUCGACCUUGAAUAUGUAUAACCUUAGCCAUGCGAAAAUGGCUUAAUUUCCAUGAUAGAUUCGUUCAUACUUGGAUACGGAUUGAGCUUACUUUUAGUUGAUAUGUUAUAUAUUAUAUGCGAAUGAAA